GGUCGGGUCGGGAGAGGAACCAAGCUCGGUGCCUUUCUUUCUCCCGGCCUUGGAUGUGGGAGGGAAACCCUUUCCAGGGCGCAACACUCACCUCGAUCAAGUUGCGGCCAACAAAGCCGAGCUGGAGAAGGAAGGCACGGAGUCCCGGAAAGGGUCGCUCCCCUGGCUUCCAAGACCCUCGCAAGGAUCCGCAGACCCAGAAAAGAGUCCCCGGCGGCCUUCGCUCCUGUGUGUGUGCCUGCCUGGGCGCGCUUCCCCUCUUCCUCUCUCUCUCUCUCUUUUCAAAGUCUGGGGAACCUGAGCCUUGAAGCGGAGGCAAGCUCUCCUUCCGGCGUCCCCCUCCUCCUCUUGCCCCCUCCCUCUCCCCCUCUUGCAUUCCUCUCUUUCCCAGGGGCCCCGCCGACCCCGGUUGAAAUGGACGCGUCUCGGCAGUUGCAGAAGGCGCUUGGCAACUCUUCUGGAAAGUCGCCGCCGCCUCCUUUCUCUCUCUUUCUCUCUCUCUCUCUCUCUCUCUCUCUCCCCGCCUCCCUCGCUCCCCCUUCCCCCGCCCAACCAGGAUCUCCCCCCCCCCCCUCUCUCUCUUUCUCUGUAUGUGUGCAGGAAAUCCCUCCCAGGCUCCUCUUCUUCCCUCCUGAUUGGAAAAACCGAAGCGCGGGGGAGUUGCCGGGCGAGGAGGGCGCCAGAAGGACACCUGAGACCUCGGCGGGGUUUGGAGACAUGUGCGCACAGGGUCACCCUACACAGAGCACACUGGGACGUAGUGUGACUAAAGCUUGAACAACUGUUGCCAAACCAGGCUGAUUUUCCGGAAAUACUGAGCUGGUGCAUUGAAUUGUGCCAGUAAAUUCUUUGCCAUCAUUGUCCCAUGGGGAUUCAGGGACUGUAUAAGAUCAAGGAACCUUCUCAGGCUACUAACCUGGUCUUUCCAGAACAUCCUAAUCUAUAAAUUCAGACUUUCAACGAACAUGCACUUCUUUCCCAUCUCAUUCUGAUACUUUGAGUUUAAAGGUCUCUGCAACCUGACACUUGCAAAUAUUCUGUAACCCGUAGACUUUCAUGAGAGAAUGAAGAAAAAAGCUGAACAAUCUGAACUGUGUCCAUAUUGUUCUGAUAGGAUUAUGGCGUGUAGUAUGUCGCUAUCACACAUUGAAGUGUAUAUAUUUCCAUAUACAACAUCUGCACCUGUGAGAUCUGGACCAGCAGUUUCACUUACCCACAUCUGACAAAAUAUAUCCUCUCUAGAAAUUUUCUAGGUACUCCAGUGUGAUGCUGUGGCAACUUCUGGCAGAAGUGGUUAAAUUCCAUAAGGUUUACUGUUAUUUAUCUACAUUUCCUGUUUCCACAGUAAGUUCAGUAACAUAUCCCCAGCAGGUAUGAGGGUUAUAUAGAGCAAGUGAAUCAGACAGUGAGUCAUUUUACAUUUUCAGUCAUCCCCUUUAUUUUAAAAUGUUUGAGGUAUAAUAUUAAAAGAGCAUCAUGGAUACAUCAUUGUGAUACUUUCAUUUAUCUGUGCAUCGUCAACCUAUGUAGAAUGGUGGUUAGGGUGUUAAGCUAGGAGAAUGGGACAAUAAAAUUUAAUAAGAAGCUCACUGGGAAACCAUAGACCUAAUUUACGUCACACAGUUAUUAGUACGAAAUGGGUGGGUUGAAAAGUCUCAUCUAUGCUAUUCCUAAAACCAUUGAGAAAUAGACAUCCAGCAAAUAAAUAAAGUGUCAAUAAUGUGUUUGUAAUUGCUUGUGUCUGUUGUUGAUGAUAGUUUGUGGCUUUAAGAAAAUGAUGCAAUAAUUUAAGAGAUUAGCUGAAAUAAAGGUUUCCAAAUUUAUUUGGGAAUAAAUGUCAUUCUAUAUAUUGAUAGACAUCUGUCAAGAGUGGCCAGGAUGGAUGGGGUUCAUGGGAAUAGAAGCCCUGUGGCAUUCAGUUAAAAAUCCAUUAAAAUGCAUGACAAGGAAGACCAGGGAUGGUAAGAUCUCUGUGUGGAUUCAUGUUGUUCUGUAUGUUUAUGAAAUAGCUCUUUGCCCUCGUGUCUUGUGACAGCAGUUGCUCCCUUGACCCAGAAGGCUUCAAACCCAAACCACUACAAUAACAGUUUUGACUUUCCUUUGGCU
rnacentral:lncRNA from 11 species